rnacentral:tRNA from 1 species
GCCGGAGUGGCGGAAUGGGUAGACGCAAGGGACUUAAAAUCCCUCGGGCAUUAUGCUCGUACCGGUUCAAGUCCGGUCUCCGGUACCA